rnacentral:lncRNA from 1 species
CUCCACUCACUGCAAGCUCCGCCUCCCGGGUUCACCCCAUUCUCCUGCCUCAGCCUCCCUAGUAGCUGGGACUACAGGUGCCCGCCAUCACGCCCGGCUAAUUUUUUUGUAUUUUUAGUAGAGACAGGGUUUCACCGUGUUCGCCAGGAUGGUCUCGAUCUCCUGACUUCGUGAUCCGCCCGCCUUGGGCUCCCAAAGUGCUGGGAUUAUAGGCGUGAGCCACCGCGCCCGGCCGAGACUCCAUUUUUAAAAUGGAUUUACGUUGUUCACAAGAACAGGUCUGUAAUGAUGAAAUCUUACAGUCUGUUUUUAAGAUACUCUAAAAUAUUUUGGUUGCUGUUUGUUAUUAGACUCUGACAGGUGGACCUAGGUUGCCUGCCCAGAGGGUCUAGGAGCUCACAAUUUCUCUAAAGACCCCUUUUCUGUUUACUGGAAACCCUAGGAGCUUCCUUAGGGGCUUGUCAGGCCAAGCUGACUAAUCCUUCCUUCUGCUCAAAUUUCACUCUUCUGAAAAGGGAGUUUGACGAGCAGGGAGUGAGUCACUAGCUCCAAGAUGGCAGCAAGGAGCACUGGUGUUAAUCUGUGUUAUCUUAGUUCCCACAGGGUGAGUAAUCAUGCCUGGCCAAAUCUCACUGGGCAAAACAGGUGCAAGUUUCCAAAGGAAGGCUUUGUGACCAUAAUAGGAGGUUAGCUGAAAUCCAACCUGUAUUUACUCCUUGCAACAGAAUACUUUAUGAACCAUGGUUUACAGGAACAUCCAGGUUCCCUAAAAAUUUAUCUCUUCCAUGAUGAUGGAAACACAGCAACGUACACAGACUGGACCUGGGGACUAUCUUAGCUUCUGAAGACUUGCACAGCAGGUCUAAAAGUCCAAGGCUGCCUCCUGACACUCCAGAGAGGAACUAUGUGACACAGAGAGACUAAGCCAGGCCCUGCCCACAGGGUUGCACACACAAACAUGUUUUCCAAGCCCUUUAUACACUCAGCAGGGAACACGCCGUUCUCUCUGGGAGGUUGCCAGAAACUUAUAAGAGAGUCUGAUCAGUGCCAAGAAUAGACAAGCAAGGCUUCUCUCCUGUCUCGGAAGGGGACACUGUGUGGUGCUGAGUUAUUACCGCCCCUCUGUGCUCCUCUAGCCUUCAAAAGCAAACCUGAAACUGUUUCCCUGCACUUCUUAAUCUCUUGAUCAGUCGAAAAAUUAUUGCUGGAGCUCGCUAUACCUCUUUGGGCACCUGUAAUCUUGUUGUCCAAACCCAAAUGCAAAUAUGUUCCCUCUGCUUGCAUUUGUUUUGCAUCUCAGAGACUCAGGCCGUGGAUCUUUGAGGUAGAACCCAAGGAAAAUAGUCAACAACUUUGUCCAUUUGCCCAGGAAGAGUCUGAGUUGUUGCUGUUCCUCAUUAGUCCUCUGCUUUAGCUUCAGCAAGGACGGCAAAGGUUACUUGAAAUUCAGCCAGUGCAGGCAAUGUUGAGAAAAAACUUGACUCUUCUCUUCCAUGUACAGGAUGUCUUUCCAACCCCUUCCCCAAAGUUUUCUUAAAUCCUUGGUGUCUUCAACUUGGCCCCAGCUCUAAAAUUAAAUAUUUACCAUGUUUUUUCCUCUAUAAUAAUACUGGGAAGAAUCAACCAUGCGUUUUUAAAUAAAAGUCUCGCUUUUGUCACGCAGGCUGGAGUGCAAUGGUGUGAUCUUGGCUCACUGCAACCUCCAACUACCAGGUUCAAGCAAUUCUCCUGCCUCAGCCUCCCGAAUAGCUGGGACUACAAGCGCAUGCCACCAUGCCAGGCUCAUUUUUGAAUUUUUAGUAGACACACGGUUUUGCCUUAUUGGCCAGGCUGGUCUCAAACUCCUCACCUCGGGACAUCCACUCGGCUUGGCCUCCCUAAAUGCUGGGAUUACAAGCAUGAGCCACUGCGCCUGACCAGUUUUUAAAUAAAGCACUUUAAAUGAGUUAUUCACAUAUCCCUUGUAUUUAUAUAGGGUACAGCUUUUUGUUUUAAAGCUGUUUGAAUAGUUCUCCAAGUUUCUGAGACUCAACUGCUUUUUUGGCUUAUGAAAUUGCCAUUAAUCAAGAUGCAUUCAUAAGGUAUCAAUUCCCUGAAAUGUAGGUAUUUAGUCCAUUCUAUCUAUCCAUGCAUCUAUCCAUCUGUCCAAUACUUUUUGUUUAAAGUCCCUAGAAUAACCAACCAGCCUUUAUAUGACUGAAUUUGAGAACCUACGGCAAUUAACAUGAUAAAUGUCACACAGAUCCUUAUUGUUUAUUAAGCAACUGAAAAUAGAAAAGCUCAGGGGAAAAUAAUACUUGUGAAUGUCAGGGAUUUUGCCAUGGAGAGAUUUCACCAACCAUAUGCAACCACAAAAUAUAGAAUGUAAAACCCAGGCACAAUAAGCUCAUUCUAGGCUUAGUGUGUCCAGAAUUGGUGGGUUCUUGGUCUCACUGACUUCAACAAUGAAGCCGCGGACCCUCGCGGUGAGUGUUAACAGUUCUUAAAGGCGGCGUGUCCGGAGUUUGUUCGCUCUGAUGUCCGGAUGUGUUCGGAGUUUCUUCCUUCUGGUGGGUUCGUGGUCUCACUGGCUCAGGAGUGAAGCUGUGGACCUUCGUGGUGAGUGUUACAGCUCUUAAGGUGGCUCGUCUGGAGUUUCUUCCUCCCGGUGGGCUCGUGGUUUCGUUGGCUUCAGGAGUGAAGCUGCAGACCUUCGCGGUGAGUGUUACAGCUCAUAAACGCAGUGUGGACCCAAAGAGUGAGCAGCAGCAAGAUUUAUUGCAAGGAGCAAAAGAACAAAGCUUCCACAGUCUGGAAGGGGAUGACCGGGUUGCCACUGCUUGCUCGCGCAGCCUGCUUUUAUUCUCUUAUCUGGCCCCACCCCAUCCUGCUGAUUGGUAGAGCCAAGUGGUCUGUUUUGACAGGGCGCUGAUUGGUGCGUUUACAAUCCCUGAGCUAGACACAACGGUUCUCCACGUCCCCACUAGAUUAGCUAGAUAAACAGUGUCCACACAAAGGUUCUGCAAGUCCCCACCAGAGUCAGGUACCCAGCUGGCUUCACCCAGUGGAUCCCACACCGGGGCUGCAGGUGGAGCUGCCUGCCAGUCCUGCAUCGUGUGCCCGCUCUCCUCAGCCCUUGGGUGGUCGAUGGGACUGGGCGCGGUGGAGCAGGGGACGGCGCUUGUCGGGGAGGCUCCUGCCACACAGGAGCCCAUGGAAGGGAGAGGCUCAGGCAUGGCGGGCUGCCGGUCCUGAGCCCUGCCCCGCCGGGAGGCAGCUAAGGCCCAGCGAGAAAUCCAGCACAGUGCUGGUGGGCCGGCACUGCUGGGGGACCCAGUACACCCUCCGCAGCCGCUGGCCUGGGUGCUAAGCCCCUCAUUGUCCCGGGGGGCAGGGUUGGCCGGCCGGCCGCUCCGAGUGUGGGGCCCGCCAAGCCCACACCCACCCGGAACUCCAGCUGGCCCGCAAAUGCAGCGCGCAGCCCCGGUUCCCGCUCCCGCCUCUCCCUCCACACCUCCCUGCAAGCUGAGGGAGCCCGCUCCCGCCUUGGCCAGCCCAGAAAAGGGCUCCCACAGUGCAGCGGUGGGCUGAAGGGCUCCUCAAGUGCUGCCAAAGUGGGAGCCCAGGCAGAGGAGGCCCCGAGAGUGAGCGAGGGCUGUGAGGGCUGCCAGCACGCUGUCACCUUUCAUUAGGACCUGCUAAUUGGUUUCACAUGUGUGUGGAACCAUCCCAGGACUGGAUUCCAAUAUGAGGAGAGAAAUGGGUUAUUUCACUGAAAGGUAUGACUGAGUUAGACUGAAGAAACUCUUAUAUGACACUGUACUAUGGCUUUAAUGAGCAUUAGUGUUAGGAUGACAUUUUGUUUAGAGAGAUAUUGAUGGUAAAAAAGAAAAGGAUUUGAACUCCAGUUCACCAUUUCCUAAGCAUGACCUUGAGCUAUUCAUUCACUCUAUGUAGUCAUUUAAUAAAUAUUUAUUGAGCCCUAUAUAGGCCAAGCACUCUGUGAGGUGAUGGAAAUUCUCCUGCCCUCAAAAAGUAACAGUAAUUAUUAUUUGCAAUCUACCUCCCUAAGGCAUAACAAUGCCUAUCUUUCAGAGUUAUGUGUAAUAGGAUUUGUAAGUGGAUUUUUUUUUGUCUCAUAAUUGUCUACUUGGCUCCAAAGUUAGAGACAAAUAGGUGAAAAUUAGGAGACAAAUAGAUGAUUGGUAAACACCAGUCAUUAAGAGGCAAAUUCAUUCUGCUACUCCGCUUACCACUGUACUCACUAAUCUUGAGGGGACUACUGAAUUGUAAAUCUUCAGCCUCAGAAAGGGUUCUGUGUCUUUUCCUUUUACUCUUUCUCAGUGCCCCUUAUGCAUAAUCCAAUGGAGUAUUCCAAGGAAAAUAUUUUUAAUGACUGGGGGUUGCCUGCAAUAAGUUGAGCCUGAAAUCUCAUUUUUCAGUUGGAUACCUACUCAUGUCAUGGAUCUGUAGUAUUCUUUUUGCUUACUCCAGCAGUAGGAAAUAAUAUAGGGACAGAACUCAAGAGAGAGAAAAUGAGCAAUAGGGCAAUGAGGCACACUCCCAUUGUCUGGUAGAAAAAAGAUGCAUGAGUCUUCCAUAUGUCAAGUAGAUACUACAAAGGUACCAGGCUUGAACUAUUGUGAAGCAAGUUCAUCCUAGACUGUGACUUACUAAGAGAAGAGACCCCAGCAGCAAAAGCCUGUAAGGUGAGUUAUGCAGGAAAUAAGGAGACUGGAAGAGGUCUACAGGAGUCGAUUUCCUAUGAAAGGAGGUUGUGCAAUGAAGAGACUGCCUGCUACAUGGAGGACAGAGGUCACAACAACAACUGGUAAGCAAAACAUUUCUGCUGACUUUUGAGAAUUCUCUCUUCUUCCUCAACAUAGAAAGGGCUCAGAAAAUGCAAAAGGGAGGGGAAAGAGUUACGAGUAGCCUCCUCUCACUGCCACUGUGUCCUGGGGAGGAGAUGGACAUUUGAAUUGGACAAGAAACUGAAGUGGAUGGCACUGGAUUGCCUCUUUUCCACUCUUUUCCAGCCUAAAAAGUUCACAAAAUUGGCAUUUGCUGGAGAAGCCAUGAAGUCUUGGGAAAGGGAGAUUCGACAGAGCAUGUUACAGCCACAAUAGGAGAAAAAAACCUUCUCAGGUUUGAACCCUGCUGAGUUCACAGUUUUCAAUAAAUUGCUGACAAAUGCAAGGUGUUCAGACAAGUAGGUAGUGCUCCACAAAUAGUAGAUAUUAUUCUAGUCACCUAGAGAGAAUAAAUGUUCAGAAAAUGUCUACGUAUGUUUUGCUAUCAAAGAGCGAAUAAGAUAUUCAAUUUGUAUUUUUGCUUUAGAUAAAGCAUAAUGCCCUUAUUAUGCCUUCAAGUCUUCAUUUCCCCCACGAAGGGACGUUUUUCUGUGUUAUUUGACCAUAUGCCUUUUGCUACGCUGGGCAUUUGCCUUCUUUGACCUUUUCUGGACAUUCCCACUUUACCCGCCAGGGAUUGAGGAGAUUACAAAGGUCAUCUAAUCAUCUAGUCUCGUUUCCAAUUUGGUUAAGAUAAAAUAUUAUUUAAUUACUAGAAAAAUACUUUGUUAUUAAAAUCAAAGUGUCUUGUGCUGGUUUGCAAACAAAGUAAUUUCUACACGCUUAUAACACAAAGAGGAGACCAGAUGUGGUGAAGUAGAAGAGAGAGGACACUGGCUUUGGAGCCAGGGGACCCAGAGCGGCUCCCAGUAAUGUGAUAUUUUAUGUGUUUUCCAACCCCAUGCAGCAUCCAUUGCCUCACCUGUAAAAUAGGGGUUUUGACAAGGACCACAUCGAGUUAUUGUGAAGAGUAAAUAGAUGAUUAUAGAAAACAUGUCACACAGUGCUAGGCACAUAGAUGAAGCUUAAGGAAUAGCUGUUGUCCCGUUUCCAAGGUUGCAGAGUCAGAAGACACCCCUAAGAAGACAUAAAGUACUGUUGUUCAGAAGGAAGGCAUUGGGAAAGUCAAAAGGACACCAGAAAUAGUGAACUCAACAUUGAUUUGCACAUUUGACCAAGGCUGGAGCAGUGGAAAGAGAACUAUGCACAAGGAUGAGGAGAAUAAUUGUGAUUGUGGGACAGGGCCCCAGGAGAGAGGUAUAGCAGACUGGCCUUGGAAAGCCUGCAGCUGCAUCAGGAAGGCAAAGCAUGCUUGGAAAAAAUGCUGACUGAAGUAAGGCAGAACCUAGAGGGUGGGUGGAUACUCCAUAACUGUAUUCAAAUUGGGCACUCUCUUGUUGUAAAGCCUUUGCGUAAGUGCAACUGAGAAAAUAUAUGGUAGAAAAAAAAGGCUAUGUUCUGACCAGCUCGAGGAUGGGGGAAUAUCAUGCAUAAUAUGUGCAAACUAUGUGAAGAAAAGUACAAGUUAAUAUGAUCACAAAAAUAUUCAGAAAAACACAGAGUGAAGGAGGUAAGACAAGAGGUAAUGAAAUAAUUAGUGAAGUAUGGGCUCCUGUGCAAGGGAAUAUCUUGAGACAGAUUUUUGAAGAGAAGUUAGAUGUGGGCUGAUGAAGAGGAACUGUCACUCCACAUUGAGGGAGUGGUCUCUGCAAAGGUGGUAGCUUAGCUUGGGUUCCUAAGAAAAGAGUCUGAGGUUAAUCUUAUGAGCACAUGCUUUAUUGUAGAGUACAAGUCCAGAGAAGCAAGUGUGACAAAAAAGGAAGGAUAGGAAACAAAAAGUCAUGUUAUUGAGCUCUGGUUAUAGGAAAUUUAAAUGGUUACUCAGUUACACUGAACAUCUCCAGAGAGAUUCAUGAAUUCACGGCACCUUAGAAAAAUUCUUUGGUGGAAAGAAGGGCAAACAAUCUAUCUACUGGCUUCUUUCCAUCUCCUGUUUCUCAUGCUUACUUGACCUAACAAAGUGUUAACUUGCACAUCUUCCCUCCAGACAGCUGCUGGGUUAGUAACUAACUCCAACUUAGUUACUGGAGCUGCUGCUGUUUCUGCUGUGAUGAGAGGUAUGGAGGCCAUGUCAAAGCCUGGCUUUUUCUCCCCAGGAUUUGCAGGGAAGGCUGCAAAAACCAGGGUGAGAGAUGCUGAGUCUUCUGAGUUUUAUGACCAUUGGAAUGGCAUGAGUCAAUCAACCAUUGCUGAGCUCCUCUGAUCAGGACUCUGGGCAAGCAACAGUCUGGGGCUGAGGGUAGAUGAGGCCCAGGAGGAUCUGAGGAAAUGUCCAAGAUAGGUCUGGAAGAGUGAGGAAAAUGGAUGAUGAAAACUUAGCAUGUCUAGAAGGAGUGAGGUCUCAACAAAUGUGUAACUUAGUGUAUGUAGUAUUGGAGUGACGUUCUAGGAAUGGCCAAAAGCUAGGAUUCCAUAGGCUGAUUUGAAUGAAUUUGAGAUGUGUGCCCAUUUUGUUGUGCUUAUUAUGGCUGAUCCUGUAGUUUUAGCAAUUCAGUGAUCAUCUCAACUUUCUUCCUAAACAGCUGAGCCUGGAAAGCUAAAACUAACACUUUUCAGACUUCAAUGAAAUUACUGUUCUGAAUAUGAUUCAGGUUCUACCAAAGAGAUGUAUUCAUGAGAACUGAAUUUAGAACUGAAGGAAGUGGGGAGAGAAGCAUGAGCUGUGAUGGUAGUAGCUGCUGGGUAAGUGGCCAGCAGCCACUAUGGUACUUCCUAUCAUGGCAGAGACAACUGGUCUCAGAGGUGCCCAGUUGUGUCUUGUGGCUUUGGACAUUUCUCCUGGAUGCUCAACCUAGAGACUGUUUAUCUCUCAAGUGAUUUGUAAACCUUUUAAUGCUCUGUGAAAAAAAAAUUUAAUCCCUUUUGCCUAAACCAGCUAGAGUGGAUUCUAUUCUGAGGAAAUGACCAUAUUUUAAAGGUUUGCUGGAGAAGUCUGGAUGGGGGGUGGAGAGAAAGAAAUAUAAAAAUAGAGAUAGAAAUAGCUAAAUGGAGGGUAGAGAUAUUAAUUCCGGCUCUUAGAUGGUGGGCAACUCACUACCCACAAUUAUUAAAUCUGAUUUUUCCUCUCAGCACACAUUCAUAUAGAUACCAUGUAUGAAGAAUACAGGAGAACCCUGAAGGUAUCCAAAUGAAAUUGACUUCCCAGUCAUCAUUAAACAUUUAAAGAACUUCAACAAAACAUGCUCCAUGUUAAGGACUUUAGCACCUAAAAAUAAGGAAAGAUGCAGCUUUUGAUUUUAAACAUUUAUUGUUUUCAAGGGAAAGCCUUCUGUAUCCCUGCACACUUUAAGCAGGUAAAUGUUAGAUUGCUGCAUCAGCUCCUGGACUCUGCAUAACUUCUGAUGUCCUUCUGGUAAACCUUGAUCCCUUAUUGCAUCAUGUGACCUCCUCUCCCCCAGCUCUAGCUCUGCCUAGCCGCAGUCCCUGGAAAGUAAUACAGUGGAGGAGGACCCCCAUGAUUACAUUCUGCGAGAGGAGUUCCUAAGCAUUGCAGCAUGAAAAACAGUGCUUAAAAGCUUAAGCAAUAUUUUUCAAAAUAUUGACCUAUCUCAGUAGGAACUGAGAUAGGCAACAAAUCUGACUGACAGAAUACAUUUCAAACUUUCAAAAUUGUGUCUUCCUCUUACUGUGGGUCCUUACCCCUGAACAAAGUUCAUCACACCUGGCUUCACGUUGCAGGGUAUAUUUUUUUGAUGCCUGCCUUAUCUGGCUUCCAGUCAUGCCCUGGAAUUUGAGUGUCUCUCAAAUGUAAAAAUCAAAAAGUAUAUUGUAAAAAUGUCUAUACUAUGCAAAGUAAUAUACAGAUUCAAUGCAAUUUCUAUCAAGAUUCCAAUGACAUUUUUCACAGAAAUAGAAAAAAAUCUAAAAUUUAUAUGAAAACAUCAAAGACAUCAAAUAGCCAAAACAAUCUUGAACAAAAAGAACAAAGCUGGAAGCAUUACACUAUUUGAUUUCAAAAUGUACUGCAAAGCUAUAGCAAUCAAAACAACAUGGUACUGGCACAAAAACAGAAAUAUGGACCAAUGAAAUUGAACAGAGAGCCCAGAAAUAAAUUCACCCAUUUACAGUUAACUGAUCUUCAACAAAAGUGCCAAGAUCAUACAACUGAGAAAGGACAGUCUCUUCAAUAAAUGGUGCUGGAAAAACUUGAUAUCCACAUGCAGAAGAAUGAAAUUGGACCCUUAUUUCAUCCCAUAUACAAAAAUCAACAUAAAAUGGAUUAAAGACUUAAAUGUAAGACCAGAAACUAUAAAACUAUUAGAAGAAAACCUAGAGACAUUGACAUUGGUCUUGGCAAAGAUUUUUUGGAUAUGACCCCAAAAGCACAGGCAGCAAAAGCAAAACUAGACAAAUGGAAUUACAUCAAACCAAAAAAAUAGCUUCACAGCAAAAGAAGCAAUCAACAGAGUGAAGAGAAAACCUAUGCAAUGGGAGAAAAUAUAUGUAAAUCAUACAUGAAAUAAGGAACUAAUAUCCAAAAUAUAUAAGAAAUUCAAACAUCUGAACAGCAAAAAAAAAAAAAAAAAGAAAAUUUAAAAAUGGGCAAAAGAUCUGAACAGACAUUUCUGCAAACAGAAUGUAUGAAAGGCCAACAGGUAUAUGAAGAGAUGCUCAACAUCACUAAUCAUUGGAGAAAUGCAAAUUAAAACCACAAUUAGAUAUCUAUCAUCUCACCUCUCUAAGAUAAGCAUUUGCAAAAAUGUGGAGAAAAGAGGACCCUUGCACGCAGUUGGUGGAAAUGUACAUUAGUAUAGCCUCAUGGAAAAUAGUAUGGAGGUUCCUCAAAAAAUUAAAAAUAGGACUACCAUAUGAUCCAGCAAUCUCACUUCUGAAUAUGUAUCCAAAGGAAAUGAAAUCAGUAUGGUAAAAAGAUAUCUGCAUUCCCAUAUUCAUUGCAACAUUACUUGCAAUAGCCAAGAUAGGGAAUCAACUGAUGAAUGAAUAAAGAAAAUGUGGUAUACAUAAUAUAAUGGAAUACCAUUUUGCCUUAAAAAGGAGGAAAUCGGGUCAUCUGCAACAAGCUAAGUGAAAAAAACCAGGCACAGAAGGACAAAUACUGUAUGAUCUCACUUACAUGUGGAAUUUAAAAAAGUUUAACUCAUAGAAGCAAAGGGUAGAAUAGUGGUUGCCAGGGACUGGGGCUAGGGGUGGGAGCAGGGAAUGGGGAGUUAUGGUCAAAGACUACAAAGUUUCAAAUAGACAGGAGGAAUAAGAUCUGGUGAACUAUAGUACAGCAUGUGACUAUAGUUAAUAAUAUUGUAUUGUACACUUGAAAGUUGCUAAGAGAGUAGAUUUAAAUGUUCUCAUCACCAAAAAUGAUAAAUAUAUGCAGAAGUGACAGAUAUAUUAAUUUGAUUUAAUUGUUCCACUGUGUAUACAUAUAUCAAAACAUCAUGUUAUACACCAUACAUAUAUACAAUUUUUCACCUUGCCAAUUAGAAAUAAAAAUUAUUCAUAUAAAAUAAAAAUAAAAAUAAAAAAUAAAAUUCAAAUUCAUAACCCAAAUUUCCCUAGACCUCUGCUUCCUCUGCAUAUAACAUGUUUGAGUCUCGCCUAAACUCAAAUUGGACCUCCACAGUCUUAGCAAAACUCUUUUAGAAAGUGCAAUAAUAUUUCUUAAUAAUCUGUCCCAGGUUAUCACUUUCCAUAAGAAUAUCCUUUUUUGAGUUCUCCUUGAAACCAUAGUUCAAAACAAAUGUGUUUGUUCUUGCAUUAUUUUUGGUAGAGAGAAGAACUAUGUGAUAAGAUAAACCUUAAGAUAAAUCCAUGUCUAUUGGGGAUAAAAGUUUUCAGUUAUUCUGCUCUUCACAAACUAACCCUAGUUCCUCUAAUCUUAAAGGUUUUAGCUUUCAACUUUUAGUUAUUUGAAUUUUGGGGGAAAGAUCUCACAUCAAUUUCUCCAUGUUAAGAUUUAAAUAACCAAACUGGAAGUUAAGUUUUUUUUUCUUUUUUGACAGAGUCUAGCUCUGUCGCCCAGGCUGGAGUGCAGUGGUGCGAUCUGGGCUCACUGCCAGCUCCGCCUCCCGGGUUCACGCCAUUCUCCUGCCUCAGCCUCCCCAGUAGCUGGGACUACAGGCGCCCACCACCACGUCCGGCUAAUUUUUUGUAUUUUUAGUAGAGACGGGGUUUCACCGUGUUAGCCAGGAUGGUCUCGAUCUCCCGACCUCAUAAUCCGCCUGCCUCGGCCUCCCAAAGUGCUGGGAUUACAAGCGUGAGCCACCGCGCCGUGCCUGGAAAUGAAUUUUUUACACACCAAGUGAAAAUAAGUGGUAUACAUUUUCACAGGAAAUUUUCCCACAAUAAAAUUUCUAGAUGGAAGUUCAAGUCCUUGUGCCUGAGCUCCUUAGAUUAAAAAGCAUAGCAGUUAUUUAACACUCUUUUAAAAAAGAAAGUAUGAAGACAUGGUGAAACUAUUUUGCUUAUCACAUUGACAUUCCUUUGAGAAGAAAGAAAGAAAAUGACAUGUGGUUGGGAAUUCUUCAGUUUAGCCCUAUAGAGAUUUUUAAAAAUGUUUUAACUUUCAAAGGCGCUUUUAUAGAGCUAUAAAAUUGCCUGUCUCCUCUCCAGGCUAUGCUGUACACAAAUGCAAUUCUAAUUUUUAUCGAAUGCUACUUUGAUCAUUCAGCUGCUUGAUCAAAAUCAAUAAUGACUUAUGGUGUUUCAGAUCAUGUCUAUACUUUUCAAGACCCUUAAUAAUCUGCCUCCAUCCUACCUAUCCUACAUUCUAUUUCACAUUUCCCUAUAAUAAUCUUUGUUAUUACCUUACUGCCUUUCUCUGUCCCUGUCAACUGCAACACAUAAGGGUUUGUAUAUAAAACAUGCACACACACACACACACAUACACACACACACACACAUUUCAUGCAUAUUCUGGCCUUGGGACUUUUACUUAUGCGUUUUUCCUUUUCUGAUGUCUACGUAUGUAUAGUUUUUCUCUUAGCAACAUCUAAACUUCUUUAAAAGUCACCACAAAUUCUACUUUCUUCCAAGAAGCUCCCCGAUGACCGUAACCUACAUUAUCCAUCCACUUUUUUUUUUUUUUUUUUGGUAGGGUCUUGCUCUGUUUCCCAGGCUAGAGUGCAGUGGUAUGAUCACAGCUCACUGCAGCCUUGGCCUCCUGGGCUCAAGCAAUCCUCCCACUUCAGCCUCCCAAGUAGCUGGAACCACAGGCUCAUGCCAACAUGCCCAGCUAAUUUUUAUUUAUUUAUUUUUUCAUUUAUUUUGUAGAGAUAAGAUCUUGCUGUGUUGCCCAGGCUGGUCUCAAGACUCCUGGCUCAAAUGAUCCUCCCACUUCGGCCUCCCAAAGUGCUGGGAUUAAAGGCAUGAGCCACCACUCCUAGGCCACUUUCUUAUUCCUGUUACUUAUUUAGGGUGACACUGUCCAAGACUUGCCUAAAUACCAUUUUAUAGUGUUUCUUUUUUAAUGAACAUAUAAACUGUGUUGUGAUCUUUUGUUUGUUUGUUUGUUUGUUUUUAUUAUUAUUAUUAUACUUUAAGUUUUAGGGUACAUGUGCACAAUGUGCAGGUUAGUUACAUAUGUAUACAUGUGCCAUGCUGGUGUGCUGCACCCAUUAACUCGUCAUUUAGCAUUAGGUAUAUCUCCUAAUGCUAACUCUCCCCCCUCCCCCCACCCCACAACAGGCCCCAGAGUGUGAUGUUCCCCUUCCUGUGUCCAUGUGUUCUCAUUGUUCAGUUCCCAUCUAUGAGUGAGAACAUGCGGUGUUUGGUUUUUUGUCCUUGCAAUAGUUUACUGAGAAUGAUGAUUUCCAGUUUCAUUCAUG